GUAGGAGCUGCCGCAGGCUGCGAUCUUUUGAUCUUGCUUUUGAAAACAGCAUCAAAAGAUCGCAGCCUGCGGCAGCUCCUAC
rnacentral:antisense_RNA from 1 species